GCUCUCUGCUGGGCCUUAGGUACUUCUUGGAUGGUUCCUGACCCACCAGGGCGCACACCUUUGCCCAGUCAUCCGGAAAACACAGCCACCGGUCCAGUUCCACAGCCAGCUGGGCAGCAACAGGGAUGACCUUGGCCUUUAAUGCAUCCAGCGUGGAGCCAGCAGCAGGAGACGCCUGUUCGCCUGGGUCCUUGAAGCCCCUCUUGCUGGUCUCAGGAUGAAAGGCACUCUCUCCUACUCUCAAGCCCACAGAUGUGGAAUAAAGAGUGUGAGUUCCCUCUUUAUUUGUUGGCUGGACAAAUACGCAGUCGAAACAGCAGGUAAGAGUGCCAGGUGGAACCUUUGGGGCCCUUCUGUGUUGGAGCCAGGUGUCCGGAGACCCAGCCCAGGACCUCUCUGGACUUUCGCCCCAGGGCGAGGUCUGCGGCAGGAGGUGAGGUCUGGGAGGGUCUGCGGCAGGAGGUGAGGUCUGGGAGAGGUGCCCAUUCUGCCUGGAUUGGGCCCUGUGCUGGAGCGAGGUGGGGGGUGGGGGUCACCAGGGGUUCCCAGGGGUCCCCACGGAUCUCCUGUGGGGCAUGGGCAAGCUGGAGGGGCAGAGUGGGCCCCUCCGGAGCUUGGCGCCCUGGCUGAGAGGGUACUUACUGUUCUGUUUUAGACCUUCAGUAUCAGACAGAAUGGGCUUCUGGUAAAGAAUCUGCCUGCAAUGCAGGAGACACGGGUUCGAUCCCUGAGUUGGGAAGAUCCCCUGGAGGCAUGGCAACCCACUCCAGUAUUCUUGCCAAGAAAAUCCCACGACAGAGGAGCCUGGUGGACUACAGUCCACGGGGUCACAAAGAAUCAGAUACGACUGAAUGACUGAGCACGCACCAGCGUCAGAAUGGAGGCAGGAAGUCCCAUCUUAACUGCCCCCCUGAGGACUGGAGAGAGAGGUCAGUACUUGCGGGAGGUCAGGCAGCUGGACGGUGGCCAGGCCGGGAUGGGGACCCAGCCUCCAGGCUCUGCCCCUGCCAGGCUAACCCCCUCCUUGCAGCGACCACCUCCCCUUACCCAGGUCCUGGCCCCCUGCAGGGACCCCUCAGGUCUGGCCACAGGCCAGCUCAUGCCGCUCAGUUUGCAAACACCAGCAAGAUUCUCCCUUCUUAAGAAAGGGCAGCGAAACCUCACCAUCCCCCGCCAUGCCUUCCUGUCUGUCCGCUCAGCUGCCAAGCCCUUCCAGCCAACGGUCCACACUCGCUGCCCCUGGCCUCACCACCUGCUCAUUCAGUCCUGCCCCUGCGAUGACCUUCAAUCGCCAGCUGCACAGGCCAUUGCUGCUGCAUCCGUCUUGGUCGGGCACAGCUCCUCCCAGCCGGUCGCAGUCCUCCUGGCCCUGCGGUCUUCGGGUCUCCCAAUGGGUGUCUGUAGGCCUGAGGGUCCCCUUUCUCUGGGGGAGACAGGGGCCGUCAGAGCCGGGUGGCAAGGUGGGCUGAGCCUUCACAGAGUCGGCUGGGACAGAUCCCCUGGAUACCCGGGGCUGGUGCUGAGCCUGGAGAGACCCGUGCGGGGGCGCUGGGCUCAGCGAGGACACAGACCCUCCCUCAGGCGGCGGCGAGGCAGAGCCGGCCUGUCGGCCUUGUCCCUGGGCAGCACCGGGGCAGCCGGUGCUCCGGGAGCGGACCGCGGGGGAGGCGCCUCCUGCCCGAGCCCCUCCCGGGCCGGGAUCACACGUCCUCCCUGCUUAUCAACGAGCCUCCGACCAAAGCUCACCGCCCGCAAUGGCCCGCAGGGCGCUGGGCCGCCUUUGAUGAGCAGCCCCCACCGCCCAGUCAACAAACGCUGCAGACUUUGCACCGAGAGUGUUUACUCCCGGCAAGGACGUGGUGUACCCUCCGCGGGCUGCCCGCUGCUUUCUCUGGGGUGGGGGUGGGGUGAGGGGGGUGACGAGGGGGCUACCGGUGAGUCUUCCCCAGUCCAGGGUCUGGUUCUCCAGGAGCACCUGCCUGCUCAAGAAAUCCUCCUACCUGAAGAGGGAUUAUGCCCAUUCUAUAGAUGCGAAAACUGAGGCCUGGCUGGUUAGGUGACUUGACUGAGAUCCCUCAGGGAAUAAAGGAUGGAGCUGCAGGCUUUUGUUAUUUCUC
rnacentral:lncRNA from 1 species